rnacentral:rRNA from 1 species
CCUACGGGAGGCAGCAGUGAGGAAUAUUGGUCAAUGGGCGCGAGCCUGAACCAGCCAAGUAGCGUGAAGGCUGACUGCCCUACGGGUUGUACACUUCUUUUAUAAAGGAAUAAAGUGAGGCACGUGUGCCUUUUUGUAUGUACUUUAUGAAUAAGGAUCGGCUAACUCCGUGCCAGCAGCCGCGGUAAUACGGAGGAUCCGAGCGUUAUCCGGAUUUAUUGGGUUUAAAGGGAGCGUAGAUGGUUUGUUAAGUCAGUUGUGAAAGUUUGCGGCUCAACCGUAAAAUUGCAAUUGAUACUGGCAGCCUUGAGUACAGUUGAGGGAGGCGGAAUUCGUGGUGUAGCGGUGAAAUGCUUAGAGAUCACGAAGAACUCCGAUGGCGAAGGCAGCCUACUAAACGGCCACUGACAUUGAUGCUCGAAAGUGUGGGUAUCAAACAGGAUUAGAUACCCUUGUAGUC